rnacentral:rRNA from 1 species
UACCAGCUCUCCGAGUGGUAGGGACGAUUAUUGGGCUUAAAGCGUCCGUAGCUGGCUUAGCAAGUCUCCUGUUAAAUUCAGCGACCUAAUCGUUGAGCCGCGGGAGAUACUAUUAGGCUAGGAGGCGGGAGAGGUCGACGGUACUUUCGGGGUAGGGGUGAAAUCCUAUAAUCCCGGGAGGACCACCAGUGGCGAAGGCUGUCGACUAGAACGCGCUCGACGGUGAGGGACGAAAGCUGGGGGAGCGAACCGGAUUAGAUACCCGGGUAGUCCCAGCUGUAAACUAUGCGGGCUAGGUGUUGGGGUGGCUACGGGCCACUUCAGUGCCGCAGGCAAGCCAUUAAGCCCGCCGCCUGGGGAGUACGGCCGCAAGGCUGAAACUUAAAGGAAUUGGCGGGGGAGCACCACAAGGCGUGAAGCUUGCGGUUC